rnacentral:rRNA from 1 species
UGUGCCUACGGGGGGCAGCAGUGAGGAAUAUUGGUCAAUGGCCGAGAGGCUGAACCAGCCAAGUCGCGUGAGGGAUGACGGCCCUACGGGUUGUAAACCUCUUUUGUCGGGGAGCAAGACCCGCCUCGUGCAGGCGGAGCGAGAGUACCCGAAGAAAAAGCAUCGGCUAACUCCGUGCCAGCAGCCGCGGUAAUACGGAGGAUGCGAGCGUUAUCCGGAUUUAUUGGGUUUAAAGGGAGCGUAGAUGGGUUGUUAAGUCAGUUGUGAAAGUUUGCGGCUCAACCGUAAAAUUGCAAUUGAUACUG